rnacentral:rRNA from 1 species
CGCCCAGACUCCUACGGGAGGCAGCAGUGGGGAAUAUUGCACAAUGGGGGAAACCCUGAUGCAGCGACGCCGCGUGAGCGAAGAAGUAUUUCGGUCUGUAAAGCUCUAUCAGCAGGGAAGAAAUUGACGGUACCUGAGUAAGAAGCUCCGGCUAAAUACGUGCCAGCAGCCGCGGUAAUACGUAUGGAGCAAGCGUUAUCCGGAUUUACUGGGUGUAAAGGGAGCGUAGGCGGGCUGCCUAGUCUGAUGUGAAAUACCGGGGCUCAACCCCGGGGCUGCAGUGGAAACUGGCAGGCUGGAGUGUCGGAGAGGCAGGCGGAAUUCCUAGUGUAGCGGUGAAAUGCGUAGAUAUUAGGAGGAACACCAGUGGCGAAGGCGGCCUGCUGGACGACAACUGACGGUGAGGCGCGAAAGCGUGGGGAGCAAACAGGAUUAGAUACCCGCGUA